ACCUACGUUCCGGUUAGUGUUGUGAAGCAUAGACGAAAUAAAACUAGCAAUAUCAAUAUCGAACAGGAACCUAAAAAAUAGGUUUUUGAUUCUGCCGAGGAAGAUUGCUUUCUGGAAGGAUUGGAUCCACGUUUAGAUCUGGUGGAGGAUGCAGAGGAUUUGGAUGAUGCCACCCCUCCCCAGCAAGCACCCUCGCCUGUCAUGGUCUAAACGGUUCUACAUGGUUCUACAUGCACUUUUCAUAGACCUCUUGAAAAAGAGGGUCCUGUGGCACCAUUUGUUUUAACAGAAUCAGUUUCCCGAAGACCAAGCAACGACCUGGGGAAUAGUAACAUGAGAACAUAUGAAAGCUGGUGGUUCCUUUUAACAUGAGUCUUCAAUAUUCCCAGGCACUUUAGUAUUGCCAGUGUAACAGUAUAGCUUCCGUCCCUCUCCUCGCUCCUACCUGGGCUCGAACC
ensembl:lncRNA